AUGCUAGGACAGCUUAAUCUGGAUUUUGAAGCAAUGCGUACCUGUAAAAAGGCCAGGGCGGAAGCUACAUCUGUUGUGAGUUCGGAUAGACUGAGCAGUCUACCUCCAGAGAUAAAGGGCGACAUCCUCUCCCGUUUGAAUGUUGAAGAAGCUGUUAGGACUAGCACCUUAUUAAGUACUUGGAGGGAUGCUUGGGGUAAUAUGCCAGAGAUAUCUCUGCGCGAAGAAAAUUUCACACGAACCAAGUUCGUUACGUUGGUUGAUAUGGUGCUAUUACUCCACAAGGGAACUAUAGAAGAGUUUGAUAUUUCAGGCAACAAAACUUACCAUGAUGAGUUCGGUAGGUGGAUGCUCAUGCUGUCAAGGAGAUCACCAAGAUCAGUUAUAAUCAAGUUGAACUCAGGGCCAAGGUAUAGGAUUCCCUCAUACCUCUUUUCUAUCGGCAGUCUGGAGUCUCUGGACCUACAAAACUGCAUCAUCAGCUUGCCCCGGGUAUUCCAAGGUUUCAAGAGCCUAACUGACCUCAACCUGGAAAAUUUCUCCUCUACAGACAUGGAUAUCCAAACAUUGAUCUCGUCCUGCCCUGUACUGACUGAUUUGAUAUUAACUUCUGUGGAGGGCAUCUGCUGUCUAAACAUUCAAGCUCCUAAACUGGAAUUUCUUAAUGUUGAAGGGGAGUUUGAAGACAUUAAGUUGGAUGCUCCUAAUCUGGAGGUGGCCAUUUUCUCUCUUGAUCACAAAGCUAAAGCAUAUCAAUCUGUUCCAAUUGCACAUGACAAGGGUUAUUGGGAAGCCUAA
rnacentral:rRNA from 1 species